rnacentral:rRNA from 1 species
GAUGAACGCUGGCGGCGUGCCUAAUACAUGCAAGUCGAGCGAACAGAUAGGGAGCUUGCUCCUUUGACGUUAGCGGCGGACGGGUGAGUAACACGUGGAUAACCUACCUAUAAGACUGGGAUAACUUCGGGAAACCGGAGCUAAUACCGGAUAACAUAUUGAACCGCAUGGUUCAAUAGUGAAAGGCGGCUUUGCUGUCACUUAUAGAUGGAUCCGCGCCGUAUUAGCUAGUUGGUAAGGUAACGGCUUACCAAGGCAACGAUACGUAGCCGACCUGAGAGGGUGAUCGGCCACACUGGAACUGAGACACGGUCCAGACUCCUACGGGAGGCAGCAGUAGGGAAUCUUCCGCAAUGGGCGAAAGCCUGACGGAGCAACGCCGCGUGAGUGAUGAAGGUCUUCGGAUCGUAAAACUCUGUUAUCAGGGAAGAACAAAUGUGUAAGUAACUGUGCACAUCUUGACGGUACCUGAUCAGAAAGCCACGGCUAACUACGUG